rnacentral:rRNA from 1 species
GAACGCUAGCUACAGGCUUAACACAUGCAAGUCGAGCGGUAGCACAGAGAGCUUGCUCUCGGGUGACGAGCGGCGGACGGGUGAGUAAUGUCUGGGAAACUGCCUGAUGGAGGGGGAUAACUACUGGAAACGGUAGCUAAUACCGCAUAAUGUCGCAAGACCAAAGUGGGGGACCUUCGGGCCUCAUGCCAUCAGAUGUGCCCAGAUGGGAUUAGCUAGUAGGUGGGGUAACGGCUCACCUAGGCGACGAUCCCUAGCUGGUCUGAGAGGAUGACCAGCCACACUGGAACUGAGACACGGUCCAGACUCCUACGGGAGGCAGCAGUGGGGAAUAUUGCACAAUGGGCGCAAGCCUGAUGCAGCCAUGCCGCGUGUGUGAAGAAGGCCUUCGGGUUGUAAAGCACUUUCAGCGGGGAGGAAGGCGGUGAGGUUAAUAACCUCAUCGAUUGACGUUACCCGCAGAAGAAGCACCGGCUAACUCCGUGCCAGCAGCCGCGGUAAUACGGAGGGUGCAAGCGUUAAUCGGAAUUACUGGGCGUAAAGCGCACGCAGGCGGUCUGUCAAGUCGGAUGUGAAAUCCCCGGGCUCAACCUGGGAACUGCAUUCGAAACUGGCAGGCUAGAGUCUUGUAGAGGGGGGUAGAAUUCCAGGUGUAGCGGUGAAAUGCGUAGAGAUCUGGAGGAAUACCGGUGGCGAAGGCGGCCCCCUGGACAAAGACUGACGCUCAGGUGCGAAAGCGUGGGGAGCAAACAGGAUUAGAUACCCUGGUAGUCCACGCCGUAAACGAUGUCGAUUUGGAGGUUGUGCCCUUGAGGCGUGGCUUCCGGAGCUAACGCGUUAAAUCGACCGCCUGGGGAGCACGGCCGCAAGGUUAAAACUCAAAUGAAUUGACGGGGGCCCGCACAAGCGGUGGAGCAUGUGGUUUAAUUCGAUGCAACGCGAAGAACCUUACCUGGUCUUGACAUCCACAGAACUUAGCAGAGAUGCUUUGGUGCCUUCGGGAACUGUGAGACAGGUGCUGCAUGGCUGUCGUCAGCUCGUGUUGUGAAAUGUUGGGUUAAGUCCCGCAACGAGCGCAACCCUUAUCCUUUGUUGCCAGCGGUCCGGCCGGGAACUCAAAGGAGACUGCCAGUGAUAAACUGGAGGAAGGUGGGGAUGACGUCAAGUCAUCAUGGCCCUUACGACCAGGGCUACACACGUGCUACAAUGGCAUAUACAAAGAGAAGCGACCUCGCGAGAGCAAGCGGACCUCAUAAAGUAUGUCGUAGUCCGGAUUGGAGUCUGCAACUCGACUCCAUGAAGUCGGAAUCGCUAGUAAUCGUAGAUCAGAAUGCUACGGUGAAUACGUUCCCGGGCCUUGUACACACCGCCCGUCACACCAUGGGAGUGGGUUGCAAAAGAAGUAGGUAGCUUAACCUUCGGGAGGGCGCUUACCACUUUGUGAUUCAUGACUGGGGUG